rnacentral:misc_RNA from 1 species
ACACACACACACACACACACAUAUCCAUGCAUCCUAAAAGGAUUCUUUUCCCCACCAAAGCACAUGGCAGAAAGUUACAACUGAACCUGGCAACCGUCUAAUUCAAAACCCAAAUCAGACCAGUUCAAUUCAGUACUGAAACUGAUCUAAACCAAAACACCAACAUUGAACCAGACUGAAACUGACCAAUUCAAUUCAUUCGAUUUUCAGGUUUUCUUAUAUAAAAAAUAAAAUUUUUCUUAAAAAAUAAAUUUCACUGUUGAAUUUGAUCAAAACCAUAAAUGAAACAAAACCGAAACCUGAACAGAGUGGGACUCUGCAGUCUGAUUCCAGUCCCCUACAGACCAUCCCUAAUCACAACACAAAAAUGUUUUAUCAUUGUCCCUAAGCUGUUAAGCCUCAUUGACUACAUCCCAUCUUAGGUGAUAACUACCGAGCAUUCCACCUUCCCAAAAUCUAAGCAUUCACACCAAUCUUGGCAAACUUGUUCUCCAAAACAUCAACACAUCCAGCUAUCAUAGCUUCCAUUGAUCGAUGACAAGUGCCCUUCACCAAGUAUCCCUUACUGGCCAAGGUCCAAGUGCACCUUCACAAGUGCCAUCCAGCAUCCACACUUUCUUGUGACUUGCAGGACAAACUAGGCCCAUUAAAUAUUCUGCACUGGGUAACACUUUCACCUUAUGAAUCAACCUUCAAGAACUUUUUUUUCCAGCUACCUUUCAGAACAUCUUUGACUAGUGGCUAAAGACCACCAAUUGUACCAAUUUCCUACUUAGAAUCUAAUGAAGUUCUAUAAAGCUGAGCCUUGGGUGCAGGUGCUUAGCUUUAUAGAACUUCAU